GCAUGGGAACUGCUGGGCGUCAUGGAAUAAACACUCCAGAAAUGUCCAAAUAAACAUAUACACGCAAGACGUAUACGUAUAAGUUUUUAAAAGGAAUAUUAAAAGAUAAAUAAUUUCCAAAUGGAAUAGGGAUCUUUGAAAAGUUUGAAGAGAAGGAUAGGGGAACCUUGAAGAUGUUGGUAAAGAGUAUGUAAUGAAAGUAAGAGAAGACCAGAGAGAAGGUGAUUACCUUAUUACUUCAAGGCUAGAUAUUCCCAGAGAAAUAUGAGGAGGAAAAAGAAACGUCUGAAGGGGGAUGUGAGAGAAUUCCCAGAAAAAGAUCGAAAUUCCCGUUGAUCAGCGGAUUUUUUUUUUCCUCACAAUAUGGCAGGAAUUAACUUCCUGCCAACAUACACCAGCAAAAAUGGCGACGCCGGUCUUGAAGGCAUACUCCCGGGCUCUCGUGCCCGGGGUAACGCCAUUUUCACAUCUUGUCCGAGACGGACGUUUCACAUUAGCACCGAAAAUAAGAAAUCCCCAUGCUGUGCAAUUACUUCGCUUUUUGGAAGGUUUGGGUAUCACCAUUGAAACUGUGAGAUAUCGGGAACAAGCGGAAAGAGAUGAUGAAUUUUUUACAACUUACUGUAAAAAUCUUUUCUUAAAGGACAGAAAAGGGGUGUUCUAUCUUGUCAUUUAUAAAGAAGAUUCAGUUUUAGAUUUAAAACUUCUGAAGAAACAAGUUAACGCCUACCGCAAUUUCUCUUUUGCCAGCCAAAGAGAAUUGAAAAACAUUUUGAAAGUCAAUUUUGUGACCCCUUUUUCUUUGCUUUUUAAUUCAACAGAAAAUGUGAAGGUCGUCUUUGCGGAAAGUCUGAGACAAGAAUCUUCCUUGAACUUUCAUCCUCUUGAUGGUCGAUUCACAACCCGAAUUUCCUAUGGUGAUCUCGAAACUUUCAUGAAAGCCAUUGGGAGAGAUUUUAUUCUAAUAAAUAUUUAAAACACA